CUUCUUGAUUUAUAUUGGAAGUCGUGCCUGCCCACUGAAUUUAUUUGAAGGGCCGCGGUAUUUUGACCGUGCAAAGGUAGCAUAAUCAUUAGUCUUUUAAUUGGGGGCUGGAAUGAAUGGUUUGACGGAAUAAUAGCUGUCUCUUAUUUAUUUAUUGAAUUUUACUUUUAAGUGAAAAGGCUUAAAUGUUGAUGGGGGACGAGAAGACCCUAUAGAUCUUUAUAUUUUUAUUGAGUAUUCAAUUUUAGUAGUUUAAUUGAUUAUUUAACAAUAAUAUUUCGUUGGGGUGACGUGAGAAUAUUAUAACUUCUUGUAAAUUUACUCUGAUAGGUGAUUAUAAGAUCCUGUAUUAUGGAAUUAAGAUUAAGAUACCUUAGGGAUAACAGCGUAAUUUUAUUAGAGAGUUCUAAUCGACAAUAAAGAUUGCGACCUCGAUGUUGGAUUAAGAUUAUAAAUUGGUGCAGUAGCUAAUUGAGUUGGUCUGUUC
rnacentral:rRNA from 1 species